ACGAACGCUGGCGGCGCGCCUAACACAUGCAAGUCGAACGAGAGAGAGGAAGCUUGCUUCCUCAAUCGAGUGGCGAACGGGUGAGUAACGCGUGAGGAACCUGCCUCAAAGAGGGGGACAACAGUUGGAAACGACUGCUAAUACCGCAUAAGCCCACAGGUCGGCAUCGACCAGAGGGAAAAGGAGCAAUCCGCUUUGAGAUGGCCUCGCGUCCGAUUAGCUAGUUGGUGAGGUAAUGGCCCACCAAGGCAACGAUCGGUAGCCGGACUGAGAGGUUGAACGGCCACAUUGGGACUGAGACACGGCCCAGACUCCUACGGGAGGCAGCAGUGGGGAAUAUUGCACAAUGGGGGAAACCCUGAUGCAGCGACGCCGCGUGGAGGAAGAAGGUCUUCGGAUUGUAAACUCCUGUUGUUGAGGAAGAUAAUGACGGUACUCAACAAGGAAGUGACGGCUAACUACGUGCCAGCAGCCGCGGUAAAACGUAGGUCACAAGCGUUGUCCGGAAUUACUGGGUGUAAAGGGAGCGCAGGCGGGAAGGCAAGUUGGAAGUGAAAUCUAUGGGCUCAACCCAUAAACUGCUUUCAAAACUGUUUUUCUUGAGUAGUGCAGAGGUAGGCGGAAUUCCCGGUGUAGCGGUGGAAUGCGUAGAUAUCGGGAGGAACACCAGUGGCGAAGGCGGCCUACUGGGCACCAACUGACGCUGAGGCUCGAAAGUGUGGGUAGCAAACAGGAUUAGAUACCCUGGUAGUCCACACCGUAAACGAUGGAUACUAGGUGUAGGGUGUGAUAAACGCUCUGUGCCGUCGCAAACGCAGUAAGUAUCCCACCUGGGGAGUACGACCGCAAGGUUGAAACUCAAAGGAAUUGACGGGGGCCCGCACAAGCAGUGGAGUAUGUGGUUUAAUUCGACGCAACGCGAAGAACCUUACCAAGUCUUGACAUCCCUUGACGAACAUAGAAAUAUGUUUUCUCUUCGGAGCAAGGAGACAGGUGGUGCAUGGUUGUCGUCAGCUCGUGUCGUGAGAUGUUGGGUUAAGUCCCGCAACGAGCGCAACCCCUGUCCUUAGUUGCCAGCAUGUAGAGAUGGGAACUCUAAGGAGACUGCCGUAGAUAAUACGGAGGAAGGUGGGGAUGACGUCAAAUCAUCAUGCCCUUUAUGUCUUGGGCUACACACGUACUACAAUGGCGUUAAACAAAGAGAAGCAAGACCGCGAGGUGGAGCAAAACUCAGAAACAACGUCCCAGUUCGGACUGCAGGCUGCAACUCGCCUGCACGAAGUCGGAAUUGCUAGUAAUCGUGGAUCAGCAUGCCACGGUGAAUACGUUCCCGGGCCUUGUACACACCGCCCGUCACACCAUGAGAGUUGGGGAUACCCGAAGCCUGUGAGCCAACAGUUAAAUGAGGCAGCAGUCGAAGGUAGAAUCAAUGAUUGGGGUG
rnacentral:rRNA from 1 species